CCGCGCCCUGGUGACAGCUCGCGCGUGCUGAUGAUGGCGGAGUGAUGCAGACUGCAAUGUCUGGGGGCCGCUGAGAGGUUCAGCAGGGAAGGGCGCUGGCCGCCAGCCCACCCACCUGAUUCACUCCUUGGAACCCACAUGUUGUAGGUAGAAUUUUCCAGAGAGCAUCGUUGGAGAAGGAUGGGAGGAGGGAGAAUUUGAGCCAUGGUGCAGGUCCAAGCAAUGGCACAGCCUCAGCCUCUCCAGAAGACCAUGCCCUUCAGGGAAAUCCCCCACCUACAGGUGUCUUCCAGCCACCACUGCCUCCACCAUCAUAGACAAGAAGGGCUUCCCUCUCCUGAUCCCCUCUCAUCACCAUUGAAGCCAUGUCACACAAGACAACGUGGACAUGUCUCAUUAAUUCUCUGAUUUCCCAUCUUUGCAUCAAUUAAAUGUUUCCACAUUCCCAUCUACCAGCUUGAUGAACAAUAUUAGUUCAACUUAUUACCAGGAGAGUAAUUAAAUAUUUGUUCUGGGGUAAUUGUAUAUAAAUUGCAUGGCAAUCGAGUUGGUGG
rnacentral:lncRNA from 1 species